GCUGGUGCACCGAACUGCUUCCCUCACUUUCGAUCAAUCGUUGCUCCUCGUGCUAACGUUGGAUGCAAAAAAAAUUGGGUUCCUGUGCUGUGUACCUAUCGUGAUGGAAAAUCGAUUCCUCUCGUUGUCCCUUUCCAUCCGUGCAUCCUCUUAGAUGCUCGGUUGGACUAGAUAGAAGGGCUCGUGCUCCAUGGACAUCCAACGUGAUCGUUCGGAUGGUGCUCGAGUGACUUCUUGUCCUUUCGGAUGCGGAACUUGCCUCAUGGGCAUGGGGUCAUCGGCCCUUGUUCCCAAUUAUGUAUUGAAGCGUUGUAUCGCUUCACACACCGGAAUGACGCUCCUGCCUUGUCCUUGAUCACGUGGAGCUCUUUGGGCUACCACACAGGAUCAUGCUCGGCGGACGUCGUGAAGGAAUGC
rnacentral:misc_RNA from 1 species